UACGUAGGGUGCAAGCGUUGUCCGGAAUUAUUGGGCGUAAAGAGCUCGUAGGCGGUCUGUCGCGUCGGCUGUGAAAACCCGGGGCUCAACCCCGGGCCUGCAGUCGAUAUGGGCAGACUAGAGUGCGGUAGGGGAGACUGGAAUUCCUGGUGUAGCGGUGGAAUGCGCAGAUAUCAGGAGGAACACCGGUGGCGAAGGCGGGUCUCUGGGCCGUAACUGACGCUGAGGAGCGAAAGCGUGGGGAGCGAACAGG
rnacentral:rRNA from 1 species